ACGGCUCAGUAACACGUGGCUAAUCUGCCCUUGGGACGAGAACAACCCCGGGAAACUGGGGCUAAUUCGCGAUAGGUGAAGAACUCUGGAAUGAGUCUUCGCCUAAAAAGUGCAACGUUAUCCUCGUUGCACCGCCCAAGGAUGAGGCCGCGACCGAUCAGGUUGUUGGCGAGGUAAUGGCUCACCAAGCCUUUUACCGGUGCGGGCCGUGGGAGCGGGAGCCCGGAGAUGGGCACUGAGACAAGGGCCCAGGCCCUACGGGGCGCAGCAGUCGCGAAAACUUUGCAAUAAGCGAAAGCUUGACAGGGCUAUCCCGAGUGCCAUCCGCUGAGGAAGGCUUUUACCCAGUCUAGAACGCUGGGGGAAUAAGGAGAGGGCAAGUCUGGUGUCAGCCGCCGCGGUAAUACCAGCUCUUCGAGUGGUGUGGAUGUUUAUUGGGCCUAAAGCAUCCGUAGCUGGCUAAGUUAGUCCCUUGUUAAAUCCACCGAAUUAAUCGUUGGAUUGCGGGGGAUACUGCUUGGCUAGGGGACGAGAGAGGCAGACGGUAUUUCCGGGGUAGGGGUGAAAUCCUAUAAUCCCGGGAAGACCACCAGUGGCGAAGGCUGUCUGCUAGAACGCGCCCGACGGUGAGGGAUGAAAGCUGGGGGAGCGAACCGGAUUAGAUACCCGGGUAGUCCCAGCUGUAAACGAUGCAGACUAGGUGUUUGAACGGCCACGUGCCGUUCUAGUGCCGCAGGGAGGCUGUUAAGUCUGCCGCCUGGGGAGUACGAUCGCAAGAUUGAAACUUAAAGGAAUUGGCGGGGGAGCAC
rnacentral:rRNA from 1 species